UCGAUGCGAAAAUCGUCAUUGGUCGGCGAGCCGGCUUAGAAGCAAGUUUACUUAAGAGUUAUUAUUAAAGACGCGCACUUGUAGAGGUGAUUCCCGCGAAUGUGAGCAUCGGUUGUUAGUUGAAAAUUAAACAAUUUUGCACACGUCGACGGGGAUCGCACACGGCAUUACCUGCGGAGAAGAUUUUCAAGUGAUCCUAGCAAGGAUGCGACAUACGUAAGAACAUGAAUCACGGCUGGACCCUUACGAAUGACAGGGAGAAAACGUCGACUCACAAGUGAGACAAUUUCGUGAGGUUCCUGAAGGUGUCAUUCGACAACAUUCCUAUCUGAUUGUUGCUCAGGUCCCUGAAAUCAGAAGAAACGAUCCAUGGUUGUGGUUAUCUUCAAUCUCUGCGAGGGUGGUUCAGUCUCUCCGGUUGGAUCGUCUUGAUGUCGUUCACGUCCAGAUACAACUCGGUGGUUUCCGGUGGAAUCCCACGUGGAAUCUCUGUAAGUUGAGACCUCGAACACCUCACCACUGACCCCGCGCAAUUACAUUGGGGUGGGCAGUAAUCGUCUCCCAAGCAACCCACGCUGUCGUCUAUAAAAUAAACGGUUCAUCAUGUUGCUGAAGAGAAGAUCAGGAAGAUGGCGUAGCUGGUUAUUGUUCAAACGCAGCUUCUCGACACCGACUAAAUCAUGGAAGGCACUUCUCUCGAUGGUGUGAAUCUGAUUAUCCGAUAGCCAACUGGAAAAUACAGAAUCGAGCAGAGUCAUCAGGAUUUCUUUGUACCAAUCCCCGUACUCGAAGUGGUCGGACCAGAGUCUUCCACUUAACAAUCCGCUGCCGAUGGAAUCCCAUUGAAUCGAUUCGAUUUCUCCCCGCCGAUGAAGGAGAGCAGGAAGAGAUCCUCGCGUGUUUUACAAUGAGACUGGUCUGUCGGUUGCUAGCUCGCGCCAUGGUAACGUUAACAGGUGUAACGAGCCUCUAGGUGGAACACUGGAAGCUCGUGUAAACGUGGCAGCGCGAUGCAAACGAGGCCAAAACGGUCCCAAUAUAGGUGUAAGUUACCUGACGCGGUGCUGUGCACCUGCCGGGCUAAAGGGAAUCGCAAUCGAGCCUGGCUAGCCCGUCUAACCGGUACUGCGGUGUAAAAUUCUCAACUAUGCACUUAGCACGAGCAACCACUAUCUACAGGGUGUUUCAAACGUGUCGUCGAUGUACGAAUUGAUGAUUCUUGAAAGAAUUCAAUAGUGAUUGAUCUUCGAGGCAGUCUAAAAAAAUUUUAGAAAAAAAGCAAACCAGUUGACGAAGAAUCGAUGCCUCCUAUUUUCAAAGCAAAGUAUCAGAUUUGAAAGUCCUUCCAUGGUAGAUAUUUUCUAGCCAAAAAUGCAAGGAAAUAGGUAUGCAUAUCACGUGCCUUGAGAUAAGUGGUAGUUUCCGGAAAAUAUGACCAACAUCGAUCUCAAUAUUACACUGAAGGAAGAAAAAGAGAAAAUAACCCAUCCUGAAUAACCCAUUCUAGGAGGAGAUUCUCAUCGAUUCUCGAUUUGAUUAAUGCAGCAGUUGGCAAAUCGUAGAAAGAGAAAUUGUGUCUGGUUAAAAUUCAACCAGAGUUAACGAUAAUUAGAACGAAGGAGCAACGUAUCUGGCGAAGGAAGUUAACCAGAAGAGAGGACGAGAAAUUUUUCGAAGAGAAGAACCUCCCCGGGGUUAAUUACCCCAUUUUACCCCAUCCAUGUCGGUGGAUUACACACGGACAGAGGGUGCACGCGUCGAGUCAGCCAGAGGAUGAUUUCGAGGCAACGAUUACAAAGUAGCCAGCUGCGAAACUCACCCCCUUCGCUCCUCCGUUGAAUGAAGUGGCCGGAAGCAGGAACACUGUCGGCCAAGAGAAAAGGCCGGGAUAAACUGAAUGAGCGGAAAAGAAGACAGCCCCGAGUCGAGGGCCGAGACCUUCGAUAAAAAGGAGCUACAAGGACGAAGGAAAAAAAGAGGAAAGAGAGGGAGGAGAGACAGGAGACUGCAAGGAAUAAAGUUCCCUGUCAAGUUGGGUGUACGGUGUCUCGAGAGACUGCCAGGCGAGUUUCCUUCAACCCCUCCCUCGAAUUCUGACGUUCAACCCUCCCGCAUCCCUUCGACCAGUUCCACUCUACUAGUUGUUGAUUGUUCCUGGCGUAAUUAUAACUUCGACCGGUCGCUACUUUCUCGGAUAUAAUUAUUAAUUACCGCGACGUCGAGGGGUGAACAGGGAAGGGGUGGUUCGCGACGGAUUCUCCCGUAGGAUCGUCGCGAAACAACGACACGUGAGAUCAAUCGACGACACGAGUACACCCCUGGGUCGUCUAUGACGCUCUUUGUCUUUGUCCUGCGGAUCGAACCGACAGGAUUUCAGUUUGCUUUCUUCCGUUAGCCUCGAUCGAAAUUUAUGGAAAGUCGAUGCUGCCUCUUGAGAAAGAAGAGAAAGAAUUGGAGAGGCAGGUUUAUUAGGUAUUGACGUUUCAGACGAGAGGUUCGAAUUGAAUAGAAGAUACUCGAAUACAAAUUGCAUUCUGUCCAAAUAUUCGCAAAAUAUAGAUAAUUUUAUACUUCUUAUCGUUUGAUUAAAAUUGGACACCUGGUUUAAUAAAAAAGAUACCGGGUUCGCAGGUUUUCAUUGAAUUUAAUGAAGAUCAAAUUAUCUCCGAAUACGAGCAGGCUCUGAAUAAUACAAAGUACAUCGAGCUUUGUAGUCCAUUAUCCUUGUAAUCCAUUAUCCAACUGGUAGUUAGCAAAAUUAUGGAUAUGAAACCGCGUGUCUCAUCAAAGUAGAACGAUACAACGUGAUCAACCACCUACGGUGGUAUAAGAAUAUUAAAGCUGCUAUUGAAAAAAAUUUUACAAUUUUUCAAACUCGCGAACUCGAUUAAAAUCAAUAAUAAUGAAAAUUUCAAUUAAGGAUGAAAUAUAUUCAGCGUUAAAAAAUUGAUAAUGAACGUACAAUUCAUGUUCCACUUGUUAGAAAAUUAAUAUAAUAUUUUUCUUUCUAUGUUACAAAAUAUUAUAAAAGGAAUUCAGAUCGAAUCCACGAAACUGACCCAUCCAUAGCAUCCCCAAAUCCUCCCUUUUAUCUUGACCCAUUUCUUUCUCUCGAAUCCACGUUUCCCCCAAAACUGACCAUCGUCAACCACCCUUCUCUCCCAUCAACCACCACAGCUAACUCAAUCCAAAGGAUUAAAAGAAUUUCAUAGGGGGUUGGGGGAUUGACGCAAGAUGCAAAUGCGGAGGAAUUGCUCGCAGUACGGACAGAAUGUGUAACGCAGCAUAUGUUGCGAUACUCUGUGGUCGAAUUUACACACAUACACGUGCAGAGUGGUUCGGUGCACGCAUGGCUACCGACACACUCGUGUCUCCAAGGGAUCCUGGUAUCUGCGCGAACAGUAAGAGCAUCGAUCACACGCCGGGGACAAUAUUGGCAUGAUAAUCGGAAGGGAUUCGGCACGGUUACGUAGUAACACGGGGCCCUGCACGGGAUCGUGGAACGGAUCAGGGGGCUGCAACGCGAUUAUUACACCGAGGGGGUUGCUUCAUAAAUAAUAGUGGUUGGAAAAGCGGGCGCAAUAUGGCUCGUCUUCAGCCAACACGAUUGUAACACUUUGUGGCAUUGGUAGUCCUCUUUAUUUCUAUGGAAUUAUUCCUUCCUCGUGGAUUGAACAGACUUUGUAAAAGGGGGUUGUUUAUUUGAGGGCUCAUUUUUUUUUAGAUGCAGAAAUCGUUACUGUCUGUUCUAAUAAAAUAAACUACCCAUUAAAAGUUGUUUAUUCCAAUGCAACUUUGUACAGAAUAAAUUAAUAACUUCAUCCUCCAUGAAUUAAGAGAAAAUUGAAAAUAAAAGUUAUUCUAUUUAUUUAUGCAAGGUGUUAGAAAGUUUUCCUGAAAUAACAAAAUAUUCUAUGUACUCUAUAAACAAUGCAGGAACGUUGAAGCAUAUUUGUCUGCAACUCAAAUAACAACAACAACCCUCGCCCCACCUGCGAACUUGCCCCCACAAUCAUGCGACCCCUAUCCUGCGGACGCAAACAUAUAGAACUGUUGUGUCGAGCUGCACCCUAGUGUCGCGCAAUCGUGUGCAACGUGCACACCAUUUUGUGGCGGGGUGUGGCGCGAUGCGGUUCCUGGUGAAUCAUGCACCACCCUCGAGGGAUCCAUCUACGAUUAAUUCCAUCACUUGACACGGCUGCCGCGCGCCAAAACGCGCGCCCAACAAACAUUUAAGCCGAGCAUUAAUCCCGAUAUGGCGAGUGGAAAAUGAAGACGGCUGGGGACAAAUGUCCCGUGAAGUUAACCGUCGAAACGCGAACUUAUGUGCUUAUUUUCUUUUGGAUCGAUGAUUUUCAGGGGGAUGAACGAUAUUGGAUGAUGUCAAACUGUUGGUCAUCGAUCAGUUGUUUCUUUGAUACGAGAUUACUUUCAGGAAAUUGAAGACAGAUGGAGAAUAUAAUAACCCACGUUAUUUGUUUAUAUAAUUUUAUAGUAAAUGUUUCCCCCUGUGGCUGGGGGGUUUAGAAUACAGCCACGGUAUCCUCUGCCUGUCGUAAGAGGCGACUAAAAGAGGGGGGGGUUAGAAAUGAGGAUAGGUAUUUUGCUUUUGAAUCUAUUGGUUGGUUUCUGCAUAUUAAGUAUGAUAUAAUUUCGUGACAUAAAAGUAUCACAAAAUACCAUGUAUGGUACAUUAAUUUAAAACUUAAAAUUUGGCAAAAAUUAAUAUAAAUUUGUUUAAGAAGAUUUUCAACUGCAAGAAAUUACAAAUAAAUCAUCUUUGUGUUUCAUUGCCUAUAACAACCCCUUCCAAAAACAUCACUGAUGUAAUAAUUAAUAUAUUAAAAUAAAAAAGAAGAAAAUUCCCCUCCAAAAAUCUGAGUAUAAUCCAUGUUUUGAAAGUGGAACACGUUCCUCGCCAUACAUUCUCAAUGUAUUCUGUACGUGCAGGUAAAAUAAGUUGUUUCGGUGGCUCAAUAAUUUGAGCUUGGUAAACCGCGGAAAUCCAGCGCUCCUCGAGCCAAUUAGUCCCAUAUUAUUUUAUAUGGGGCACGCGUUCAGCUCUACGGCUUCAUUCCGGCCCGGCUAGAGUUCCGGUUUAGGCGAGAAGGAGGUUAAAUGCUUGCCUGCGACGUGGUUUGCUUAGGGUUAAUUGGACAGCUCCGCUAGAAUAAUGCGGCGCUUUUUUCUUUUUUUUUUAAGACACUCGUGUUCGUUUUAUUGUGUCGCGUGCAACCCUUUUAUUUCGCUGGUAAUUAAAGCGAAAUGAAAUUUCUCUUGGUACUUAUGGUGUGGGCAGGUGUGGGUUUAAACGUGGUAGAAAACACUGAGGUUUAUGGAUGUACAUGAUCCCUGUACAUCUUUGUGAUUUUCCUUUUUUAAUUUAAUUUAAAUAUUUUAAAACUUUAAAUUAAAUUUUUAUAUAAAAUAUGCAAAAUAAAAUGUGUCUCCUUCAGUUGAAUAGAGAAAUUUUCACGAAUAUUCAGAGUUUGAUCGUUUCCUUGAUCUGAAAAGGGUUAAAUGAUAAAAUUUCUUCCUCGAAGCGAAGGAAAAAAAAGCGAAUGAACAGCUCGACACGAUCGUGGAACUGGUUUCAGUCACCGAUAUGCUGAUUUAUUAGUCGAAAGCUGGAGAAGGUAGUCUGAUAAACGAGUAACGAAGAACAAGCUGUCAGUUAGCGAACUCUUCGAUCUGUCUCGUUCGUCUCGCGAGGUGUCGCCAUUAACUUUAAUACCGGCCUCAUUACACCGGCUGGCCGAUAUUAAAACGGUCGAGUCCGAGCCGAGCAAAUGAUUAAUCGGCGUAAUUGAGUUUACUCAAUUCCGCGAUCAAUCCGAUCGUCUGGGAAACGCAGCUUUAAUAUUCAUUCCGAAUCUCGUAAUUGCGAGAUAGAUCCGUUCGAACGGUUUCCUCUGCUCGUUCUUUCCAGCUUCGUCGUUCAUCCAUAUGAAUCGAGGCGAAUUCAUGGAAUCUCGUGCAGCUUUUAGUAGCUUGAACAGAAGCGAGUGAAAAACGAUUGUAAUCCCUUUCAAGAUUCGUAAAACAAAUUUCAAUCGAACUUUGUGAAACGAUAAUUGAUUCAGAGACACAUAAGAGCCUCGGUAGUUCUAUUAUUAGGAACCGUAAAAUAUAAUCUUCGGAUGGUUAUUUAAUGGAUGAUCUUCAAUGGAAAUCGCUUAGGUAACGAAAGGGUUUUAACCAAGCUGGAACGGUGGCGCGUGCUGUUUUACGAGGAGCGUGUAACGAGCGCGAUCUGAAACGCAAAAUUGCCAGACCGUCGUAAAUCACCAGCCACCCCGUCGACCGAGUUCGCAGCCUAAUCAGUUUAAGUGAUUUCGAAAGGUGCUGCUUUCCAGUCGGAAAGCGUACCACCUCCGGCAACCUUCGCGCCUUCACCUCCAUGGUGGUCCAUGGGUACUGCGUGGGUGGACAACGCGUGCACCGAGUUACGCGUCAACCUUUUCAGCUUACCUCCGCGAGGAGGAAGAGGAGGAGGAUAUCUAACUCCUUCGCAUUGAUCGAUUCCUAUAGAAUCCUAUCUGUACAGGGGAUCUCGAUCGUUCCAUUGUUCCUUCUCCUUAGACCAGGGCCUUCCUAUUCCUGGCCUCGUUCGAUCUCGAGCUUUGUGUCUCUCGGUGUUUAAAGUCGAUUCAGUCUGACGUGAUUUGUGACGCUUUGUUCCUCGCUUGUUUCUUUUUUUAUUUCGCUCCUUUGAGUUGCGAGCUCGGUUUUUGAUCGAUGUGACUUCAAUCCACAGCCUAUUGGUACUAAUUGUGUCUCGGGUAGUGAGUUACGUUUCUUCGUACGGCUAUUUGUUCUCGUGCCUUUGUCUUGUAUCGUUUGGAAGAAAUUAUAAUGAUUUCUAUAUUGGAAUAAUUUGAAUGGCAGUCGAUUGAGAUUUUGUCCAGAAUUGGGCUCUGAAUUUAAAGCGAUCUUUAAUGAACGGAUUUAUCUGUUUUACCUUCCUAUCUGCCAAUCUCUGCCUAAUACGUUAGAUUAUCGUGGGUUAUGGCUAAUACGAUCAGCAGUGAAACCCCCGAUUACAUAUGCGCCGUUCUAUACAAUCAAUUAUGCAACAGGGCCCACAACUGGGCGUAUUGAAUUAUUGCUAAUGAGUUGGGUGAUGUGAUUAAUUUACACGCUCGACCUUCUCGCAGAGUAGCCAGGUAACAUUUUCCGAACAAGCUUUAAAUAGCAAAUUUCAAAUUCCAAUUUUUCGAACAGAAGAACGUCGAAUAUUAAUUGAAAACGAAAUGGUGAAAUAGAAAUUUUGUAUCACCUUAUACGGUGUCUUCGUUCGAACGUGCCUUGACAGUAUAAAUCGACCCUAACCCGUCCGGCACUUCCGCCCAUUAGAGUGAACUGUUUCCGUGGUGUCGAAGGGCAGCGAACAUUGAAUUCGCGAUAGCGAGCCGAAGCGAGGGGGUGUUACCGAAGGGUGUCGUGAAACGUUCGCACGGACAUAAUCGGUUGGGCCUGGUGGACGUUUUAUCGGUGAUACACCAGCGGCCCGAUAAAUCGCCGGGUAGAACUUUGCUCGCAAUUAGUAUGCUAAUGAAGAGGAAAAAGGGGGGUGACGGGUGAGCGUUGAUCGUAUUGGAGAUUAGAAAUUGACUUGGCCAGGAAAUAUGGAAAACAGAGCAGUGUGGACGGCAAGAUUGUUUUAUGUUCAGUAUCUAAUUAAUUGCUGUUAAUAAUACACUAAAAAAUAAUAUAUUGUAACUACCACCCUUAAUUCCGGGUACCGCAUGAAUUUUUGAGGUACCCAUACACCCCUCUUAAUUAGUAUAUUCGUCUACCCCUUCAUCAGAACCGACAGUGUGUAUUGUAAAAAUUUAAUCAAUUAGCCAGCCCAUGAAGAAAAGAAAGAAAGAAAAAGUAUCCAACAGGGACGAUGUUUAUCCGCAACAUUUAUUCGAAGCAUCCAUCGAAACGGUUAAUCGCGUUUCCCACAGAGUGGAGGCGGAUCGAAAUGGCGCAUCUGUUGUUCGUCCAACGGCAACUUUAAAUCCUGCGUAUUAUUAGAAGUCUAAUUUCGUUUCGCGGUCCAGCGAGCAUUCGACGCAAGGGUAAUCACGAAAUGACUAGUGGCGCGAAGAUACGCUUUCCUUUCCAUCUCUCUUAACCGAAGGGCACAGAAGGGGGUGGCUUUAAUGUUUUUAAUCUAAUUCCCCGCGUGCAAGUCCAGCACGAAACUUCUCCCCCGGGGUUCGUGUCCGAUUCGCUGGGGAUUUUUGCAUUGUGCAAUUCGACCGGGGGUGCGGGUCUCCCUUUCGAGGAAUGCCCUUACGAUCGAUCCUGUCUCCUCUACAAUUUCAUUUCUCACUGUACGAAUUACAAAUUUCAUUUUUUAUCGAAACAUCUUCGCGUGACUUCUCAAAGGGGUGGUUUUCGGAACGUUCGAAACAUCAGGAAAUAAGAAGGUGAAAAUUUAUGUGAUUCAGUAGUAGAACAUUAACACAGGUGAAAGCGAACGAUCCCAUAAGUUAGGGGUAGGUGUUACGAAAACAAAUCGAGGCCGCAGAACGAAUUUCUUUGAAUUCAUCCACACCCCAUAACCGCAGCCCUCCGUUCCCAAACCGAAGAAUAUUAAACACCGUAACGUUCUCGUAAAUCAUAACACCAUAACCAUAAUCCUGACACCUUUCGAAACAGCAAAAGCAAUUAAAUCCCAGACGAAAACACUGAAACGACAGUGCGUCAGAAAAAUAUUAGCACUCUAUGCUUUAUCCCUGUUUUAUAACAAAUGAAAUAUUAUUGUAUCCUCGCAACUUUAAUGACGUGCAGAUACUUUUGAGCGAUAGUGUACGAUAAAUCGAGCCCUGUUGCUAACGAGAUCCUUUUGUUCGACACGUAUUACCCCGUAGCACGCACCUUAUAUCCAUACAUUAAUAUCGACAAGCCUCGAGAGAGUGACGCAUCUAACGAGAAACGAUCCACGUGCACCCUGAGCAAGGGAUACUUAAUCUUUUUCGCCUCCCUAUGGAUAUUCCUGCGAGACAUUAAAGGGAGAAAGGGGCCCCUUGGAAUAUUUUCACACUCUCGCCUUGGACCCCCCACUGUCGGAAGCUAUUUUUUCUCCCUCUACGACCCCCCCAUGUUUUGUAACUAUUUUCCGCCACCUCGUGUCUCGUCUCCCUCGUUUUCCGAUCCAUGACUAUGCACCUCUAGCAAUAAAGCCUUCCACUUGCCGCGUAUCUCGCGUCACGGGGCCCCUUCGAGGUCCGCGUCCAGUCUAUGGGAUUAACCAGACUGCAACGCUUAAUGGACGAAGGGGGAAUAGACGUGGCAGCGGAUCCAAUUUCUAAUUCUACGCUCUGUAGAUUUCGACCGGUGCACGAGUUUUACUCUUUUGUUCGGAUGAACGCUGUUUGUUUAGGCUCCCUCUAUGGUAUGGUGUCUUCAUUGUUGGCGACUCCCUGCAUUAGAUGGCUGAAGGGAUGCUUUUUGUUACUUGGAAGAAGUUCGAAUUUCUUGGACAUUUUCUAUGGGGAUAAAUUCAAGAUUUCUUCCCUAUCAUUGUAUUUUCGAAGAUGGGUAUUAUAUAUCUAAAAAAUCAUACGAUCAUCAACCUAAUCCUAACAUUUGUUCAAAAAUAAAUUCCAAUAUACCAACGCGUUACCACAGUAGCGCCAUGCUCGACGAUCAAUUAAACGCCUCCAUUCAGCAAGUGUGCAUCCACCCCUUUGGUGCUCGUUGAAAGAGCACCCAGAGAAGAAAGAAAGGGCGGUGCACGCGGUGUCAUUCUAAAAAAGAACCAUACACACGUCGGUCCGGUAACAGGUGCUACUUGCCCUGUGCGAAGGACGACCCUUCUGGGCCUGUCCGACGACCCGUGAAAGUCAGCAUUCUCGUCCGGAGAAGUAAAAACCCCCGCUGGUACCUCGUGUCUGAUCGCCGGGGCGUGUCCUGUUCCUGCGGGAACUUCGUGUACCGUUCCCCACGGUCAGGAUGCACCGGGACGAGACACGCGUAUCCCACAAUUAUUCAAUGAAUACAUGAAUACGUGUAUAUUCAACGGGGACUCGCUACGCGAACGAGCAGAUGCAUAAUGCGCGUCCUCGACAACGGGUAAUAUCCAAGUAA